rnacentral:rRNA from 1 species
UACGAGGGGGGCGAGCGUUGUUCGGAAUUACUGGGCGUAAAGCGUGCGCAGGCGGUUUGCUAAGACAGGUGUGAAAUCCCCGGGCUUAACCUGGGAACUGCGCUUGUAACUGGCAAGCUGGAGUGUGGCAGAGGGGGGUGGAAUUCCACGUGUAGCAGUGAAAUGCGUAGAGAUGUGGAGGAACACCGAUGGCGAAGGCAGCCCCGUGGGCUAACACUGACGCUCAUGCACGAAAUCGUGGGGAGCAAACAGG